rnacentral:rRNA from 1 species
CCUACGGGUGGCAGCAGUGGGGAAUAUUGGACAAUGGGCGAAAGCCUGAUCCAGCCAUGCCGCGUGUGUGAAGAAGGCCUUCGGGUUGUAAAACACUUUCAGUGGGGAAGAAAGCCUUGGGGCUAAUACCCUCGAGGAAGGACAUCACCCACAGAAGAAGCACCGGCUAACUCCGUGCCAGCAGCCGCGGUAAUACGGAGGGUGCGAGCGUUAAUCGGAAUUACUGGGCGUAAAGCGCGCGUAGGCGGUCUGAUAAGCCGGUUGUGAAAGCCCCGGGCUCAACCUGGGAACGGCAUCCGGAACUGUCAGGCUAGAGUGCAGGAGAGGAAGGUAGAAUUCCCGGUGUAGCGGUGAAAUGCGUAGAGAUCGGGAGGAAUACCAGUGGCGAAGGCGGUCUUCUGGACUGACACUGACGCUGAGGUGCGAAAGCGUGGGUAGCAAACAGGAUUAGAUACCCUUGUAGUC